rnacentral:rRNA from 1 species
UACGGAGGGGGCUAGCGUUAUUCGGAAUUAUUGGGCGUAAAGCGUGCGCAGGCGGUCUUUUAAGUCAGAUGUGAAAUCCCCGGGCUUAACCUGGGAACUGCGUUUGAAACUGAAAGGCUAGAGUGUGGCAGAGGGGGGUGGAAUUCCACGUGUAGCAGUGAAAUGCGUAGAGAUGUGGAGGAACACCGAUGGCGAAGGCAGCCCCCUGGGAUGAGACUGACGCUCAUGUACGAAAGCGUGGGGAGCAAACAGG